rnacentral:rRNA from 1 species
UACGGAGGGUGCGAGCGUUAAUCGGAAUAACUGGGCGUAAAGGGCACGCAGGCGGUGACUUAAGUGAGGUGUGAAAGCCCCGGGCUUAACCUGGGAAUUGCAUUUCAUACUGGGUCGCUAGAGUACUUUAGGGAGGGGUAGAAUUCCACGUGUAGCGGUGAAAUGCGUAGAGAUGUGGAGGAAUACCGAAGGCGAAGGCAGCCCCUUGGGAAUGUACUGACGCUCAUGUGCGAAAGCGUGGGGAGCAAACAGGAUUAGAUACCCUGGUAGUCCACGCUGUAAACGAUGUCGAUUUGGGGGUUGAACUAUAAGUUUGGCGCCCGUAGCUAACGUGAUAAAUCGACCGCCUGGGGAGUACGGCCGCAAGGUUAAAACUCAAAUGAAUUGACGGGGGCCCGCACAAGCGGUGGAGCAUGUGGUUUAAUUCGAUGCAACGCGAAGAACCUUACCUACUCUUGACAUCCAGAGAACAUUCCAGAGAUGGAUUGGUGCCUUCGGGAACUCUGAGACAGGUGCUGCAUGGCU